rnacentral:rRNA from 1 species
GAGAGUUUGAUUCUGGCUCAGGACGAACGCCGGCGGCGUGCCUAACACAUGCAAGUCGAGCGAGGAGAUUCCCUUCGGGGAUGAACCUAGCGGCGGACGGGUGAGUAACACGUGGGCAACCUGCCUUAUAGAGGGGAAUAGCCUUCCGAAAGGAAGAUUAAUACCGCAUAACAUUACAUUUUCGCAUGAAGAAGUAAUUAAAGGAGUAAUCCGCUAUAAGAUGGGCCCGCGGCGCAUUAGCUAGUUGGUGAGGUAACGGCUCACCAAGGCGACGAUGCGUAGCCGACCUGAGAGGGUGAUCGGCCACAUUGGGACUGAGACACGGCCCAGACUCCUACGGGAGGCAGCAGUGGGGAAUAUUGCACAAUGGGGGAAACCCUGAUGCAGCAACGCCGCGUGAGUGAUGAAGGUCUUCGGAUCGUAAAGCUCUGUCUUCAGGGACGAUAAUGACGGUACCUGAGGAGGAAGCCACGGCUAACUA